rnacentral:rRNA from 1 species
UACGGAGGGUGCGAGCGUUAAUCGGAAUAACUGGGCGUAAAGGGUUCGCAGGCGGAAAUGCAAGUCAGAUGUAAAAGGCAGUAGCUUAACUACUGUAAGCAUUUGAAACUGCAUACCUUGAGAAGAGUAGAGGUAAGUGGAAUUUUUAGUGUAGCGGUGAAAUGCGUAGAUAUUAAAAAGAAUACCGGUGGCGAAGGCGACUUACUGGGCUCAUUCUGACGCUGAGGAACGAAAGCGUGGGUAGCAAACAGG